rnacentral:tRNA from 1 species
UCAGGAAAUAGUUUAUAAUAAAACGUUAGUUUUGGGGAUUAAAGAUAGAAUAAUUAUUUCUUUUCCUGAU